ACAAAACUAGACACUACAGA
rnacentral:misc_RNA from 1 species